GAUGAACGCUGGCGGCGUGCCUAAUACAUGCAAGUCGAGCGAACGGACGAGAAGCUUGCUUCUCUGAUGUUAGCGGCGGACGGGUGAGUAACACGUGGAUAACCUACCUAUAAGACUGGGAUAACUUCGGGAAACCGUAGCUAAUACCGGAUAAUAUUUUGAACCGCAUGGUUCAAAAGUGAAAGACGGUCUUACUGUCACUUAUAGAUGGAUCCGCGCUGCAUUAGCUAGUUGGUAAGGUAACGGCUUACCAAGGCAACGAUGCAUAGCCGACCUGAGAGGGUGAUCGGCCACCCUGGAACUGAGACACGGUCCAGACUCCUACGGGAGGCAGCAGUAGGGAAUCUUCCGCAAUGGGCGAAAGCCUGACGGAGCAACACCGCGUGAGUGAUGAAGGUCUUCGGAUCGUAAAACUCUGUUAUUAGGGAAGAACAUAUGUGUAAGUAACUGUGCACAUCUUGACGGUACCUAAUCAGAAAGCCACGGCUAACUACGUG
rnacentral:rRNA from 1 species